CGGGUGAGUAAUGCGUGACCAACCUCGCCCCAUGCUCCAGAAUAGCUCUUGGAAACGGGUGGUAAUGCUGGAUGCUCCAACUUGACGGCAUGUCUUGUUGGGAAAGUGUUUAGUGGCAUGGGAUGGGGUCGCGUCCUAUCAGCUUGUAGGCGGGGUAAUGGCCCACCUAGGCUUCGACGGGUAGCCGGCCUGAGAGGGCGGACGGCCACAUUGGGACUGAGAUACGGCCCAGACUCCGUACGGGGAGGCAGCAGUUU
rnacentral:rRNA from 1 species